CUCCGGAGCAGAACCAAACUUGCUGCCUCGCCUGGUGUCACCCAAAGGCAGCAGCCAGCCCCGAAGGGACGGAGCUGGGAAAUAUCCCGAUGUCCCACAGCCCGUGCCAGCUGCUGGCAGAGAGCUCGCGGCCGUCUCGCAGCUGAUUCAGCUCCUUAAGAAGAGGAGCUUGCUCUGCUGAUUGGCAGACCCUCUGGAGACCACCAGAAGAAGCAGAUGGUCAAGACAUGAGAUCAGAGCUGGAGAAGGAGAUGUCAAUCUCCGGGCUGCAGUGCCAGGCUCGGGGACGUGGCAGGGAGCAGGCGAGGUACGCGGUCCCGUAAGGACAGCGUGUGAGUAAUGAGGCUGGCUGCAAAGUCUGGGGUUUGCUUUAAAAAAAUAAAAAUAAAAAAAUAAAAAGCA